AUGUUUAGCCAUCUCCAAUCAAGGCUGCCAUGCAGUUCAAUAUUUUGCAGGUAGAGAAAAAUGUGAGGCCAACCACUGGGCAGAACUGGAGGCAGAAGCAUCACCUCAUUUCACUGCUCAGAACUCUUUCCAGAGAAUAUGACCACAUUGGGAAACAUCUCUGGGCAUCGGUCCUAUCCUGAAUAUCUCCAAGUUCCCUCAAAUGUCCCAAAGCACCACGGAGAGAAGGUGGAAAAGGCCUGAGAGAGUCGUGUGACACAACAUCUGGGCUUCUGUUCUGCCAAUUACUUUGUGCAGCAGAAGAGGACUGUCUUCCACAGGCAGCAAGGAGGAGGCUCUGAUUCUACACUGGGCAGAGCUCAGGCAUAGAAGACCUCAAAGUCCACCCUGACAGUGACACACAUCCUCCAACAAGGCCAUGUCUGCUCGAACAUGGCUAUACCUCCUACUAGUGCCAUUUCCUGUGGGCCAAGCAUUCAAACACAUGAGUCUAUGGGGGCUAAACCUAUUCAAACCACCACAGGCACUAUGGCAGAAAGGAGAAAAGGAAGCGUAUUCCUGAGCCUGGGAAGGUACAAUGUUUACUGUCCUGUUUAUGAACCCGAAGGUCUAGGUCUGGCUCAAAGAGUGUCCCAGAGGAAGCUACCCCUAGAGAUCGUCAGCAUCUAGUUCUUCCAGGGAAAUGAUCUAUGACAGCAGGUCUAUUCAGGGCUCCCCAUCCGUUUCCCCCUUCACUGAAAUUUAAUGUGUGGGUCCACCUUCCAGGAAGCCACCUGGCAUAGCCACCCAAGCCUGGGCUUUGGGAACAAUCAGACCUGAUUUCAAAUGUGGACUCUGCCAAUUACUGUCUAUAUGGGGCUGGCCACAUUCCCUAACUUCUCUGGACUCCAGCCCCCAAUAUUACUAAUGUCACUAUUUCAAUUUAGCUAAUUUCACUAUAUUGAUGCAAUUGAUGUGAAGACACAGUAAAUAUGCAGUAAAUUUUUACUAGGGAGAACACAAUGUCAGGUCUGGUUAUAUUGUGCACUUCCCCUAUGUUUUAAGCCAAAAUCUUACCAAGGCAUGAGGCUGUCCAGGGUGGCUAUGGGAGAGCUAGAGGACAGUCCUCUCCACUAUAUGGAUGGCUGGUGGGGGGUGAGGGGACUGCAGGCCAGGUGUUUACCUGAACCCUUUUCCCCCGUGCCUAUGCUGAAUAAGGGUGUUAGCCAAGAGGUAGCAUCAUGCCCAUGCCUUGAACCCAAUACUCCUGAGUGAACUGCCUCUCUUCUUUCUCUCUAGCCUUACUUGUAUAUCUUCAGUAAAUACUCUGGGCUAGAGGUGGACAGUUGGAUGCUUGACUCUGGAAAGAGAUACAAGAAAUACUAUAAAACUGAUAACAAUAACAGCAAGAACAAACUUUUUGAGAGCCAUCUUUAUGCCUGACAUGUCUGUGUGUUUAUUUAUUUCAUGCUCACAAUCCCCAAAGAAGUGCCCAAGACGGCCUGCUUAGCAAAUAGAGAUGUGGGAUUUGAACUUAUUCUGACUGACUCCCUUUCUACCAUGAGUCUAACACUUGACUAUGUCCAUAAAUCACAAUAAACUUCACAACCUUAUGAGGUAGGUAUCCUCUUUCUAUCACUAAGAACACACACCUUUGAGCUCAACGUCUACUUUUUACUCAGUUCAUGUGGUUGGAGACUGGUCUCCAUCAAUGACAUCUCAGGGUACUCUUGUAUUCUGGUUUCUAGCUUGGACUAGAUUAACAGUAAACUUCCACAGGAGAUCAUGGAUCAUAGGGCACAAGCAGAAAGUCAGGGUAUUUAUUCUACUCCCUUUUCUCUGCUUUGAUUUUAUGACUACAGAUCCUUCUGUAUAGCCUCUUACAUAGCUCCUACUCUCUCUUCCAUGGGCCAAGGAGUGACAAUAGCUUCCUGCUAUUAGAAACUCCCUAGCCAUCUCAACAUUCUUUGUUGAUUUCCUUAACCUUGACAUAGUAUGAAAGUGAUUGCUAUAUCCAG